UACGUAGGGUGCAAGCGUUGUCCGGAAUUAUUGGGCGUAAAGAGCUCGUAGGCGGUUUGUCGCGUCUGCUGUGAAAACUCGGGGCUUAACCCCGGGCCUGCAGUGGGUACGGGCAGACUAGAGUGCGGUAGGGGAGACUGGAAUUCCUGGUGUAGCGGUGAAAUGCGCAGAUAUCGGGAAGAACACCGGUGGCGAAGGCGGGUCUCUGGGCAGUAACUGACGCUGAGGAGCGAAAGCGUGGGGAGCGAACAGG
rnacentral:rRNA from 1 species